GACGAACGCUGGCGGCGUGCUUAACACAUGCAAGUCGAACGGAAAGGCCCUGCUUUUGUGGGGUGCUCGAGUGGCGAACGGGUGAGUAACACGUGAGUAACCUGCCCUUGACUUUGGGAUAACUUCAGGAAACUGGGGCUAAUACCGGAUAGGAGCUCCUGCUGCAUGGUGGGGGUUGGAAAGUUUCGGCGGUUGGGGAUGGACUCGCGGCUUAUCAGCUUGUUGGUGGGGUAGUGGCUUACCAAGGCUUUGACGGGUAGCCGGCCUGAGAGGGUGACCGGCCACAUUGGGACGGAGAACCGGCCCGGACCCCGCGGGGGGGCAGCAGGGGGGAAUAUGGAAAAAGGGGGGGAAGCCUGAGGAAGCAACGCCGGGGGGGGGAGGACGCCUUUCGGGUUGGAAACCGCUUGCGCCGGUGACGAAGGGGGAGGGAGGGUAAGGGGAAAAGAAGCACCGGCAAACUACGGC
rnacentral:rRNA from 1 species